GUGCUCAUUUUGACAACAUUUAUACUAAAAUUGGAAUGCUACAGAGAAGAUUAGCAUGGCCCCUGUGCAAGGAUGACAUGCAAAUUCGUGAAGUUUCAUAUUUAA